rnacentral:rRNA from 1 species
CCUUCGGGAAUGCGAUAGUGUGAACGGGUGAGGAACACGUGAGAAACCUGCCUUUCAUUCUGGGAUAACACCGGGAAACCGGUGCUAAUACCGGAUACUCCGUCUUGGCGGCAUCGCCGAGCCGGGAAAAAAUUUUGAUGAAAGAUGGUCUCGCGGCCUAUCAGCUAGUUGGUGAGGUAAUGGCUCACCAAGGCGACGACGGGUAGCCGGCCUGAGAGGGCGACCGGCCACACUGGGACUGAGACACGGCCCAGACUCCUACGGGAGGCAGCAGUAGGGAAUAUUGGGCAAUGGGCGCAAGCCUGACCCAGCGACGCCGCGUGAGGGAUGAAGGUCUUCGGAUUGUAAACCUCUUUCAGUAGGGAAGAAGCGAAAGUGACGGUACCUACAAAAGAAGCACCGGCUAACUAUGUGCCAGCAGCCGCGGUAAUACAUAGGGUGCAAGCGUUGUCCGGAAUUAUUGGGCGUAAAGAGCUCGUAGGUCGUUUGUUACGUCGGAUGUGAAAAUCUGAGGCUCAACCUCAGACCUGCAUUCGAUACGGGCAAACUAGAGUUUGGUAGGGGAGACUGGAAUUCCUGGUGUAGCGGUGGAAUGCGCAGAUAUCAGGAGGAACACCAACGGCGAAGGCAGGUCUCUGGGCCAACACUGACACUGAGGAGCGAAAGCGCGGGGAGCGAACAGGAUUAGAUACCCUGGUAGUCCGCGCCGUAAACGGUGGGCACUAGCUGUGGGUCCCUUCCACGGGAUCCGCGACGCAGCAAACGCAUUAAGUGCCCCGCCUGGGGAGUACGAUCGCAAGAUUAAAACUCAAAGGAAUUGACGGGGCCCCGCACAAGCAGCGGAGCAUGCGGCUUAAUUCGACGCAACGCGAAGAACCUUACCAAGGCUUGACAUAUAGCGAAAAGUGGCAGAGAUGUCAUGUCCGCAAGGGCGCUAUACAGGUGGUGCAUGGUUGUCGUCAGCUCGUGUCGUGAGAUGUUGGGUUAAGUCCCGCAACGAGCGCAACCCUCGUCCUGUGUUACCAGCAUUUAGUUGGGGACUCACAGGAGACUGCCGGGGUCAACUCGGAGGAAGGUGGGGAUGACGUCAAAUCAUCAUGCCCCUUAUGUCUUGGGCUGCACGCAUGCUACAUGGCUGGUACAAAGGGCUGCAUACCGUAAGGUGGAGCGAAUCCCAGAAAGCCAGUCUCAGUUCGGAUUGGGGUCUGCAACUCGACCCCAUGAAGUCG